rnacentral:rRNA from 1 species
GGGUUGUGAGGUUAAGCGACUAAGCGUACACGGUGGAUGCCCUGGCAGUCAGAGGCGAUGAAGGACGUGCUAAUCUGCGAUAAGCGUCGGUGAGGUGAUAUGAACCGUUAUAACCGGCGAUUUCCGAAUGGGGAAACCCAGUGUGUUUCGACACACUAUCAUUAACUGAAUCCAUAGGUUAAUGAGGCGAACCGGGGGAACUGAAACAUCUAAGUACCCCGAGGAAAAGAAAUCAACCGAGAUUCCCCCAGUAGCGGCGAGCGAACGGGGAGGAGCCCAGAGCCUGAAUCAGUGUGUGUGUUAGUGGAAGCGUCUGGAAAGGCGCGCGAUACAGGGUGACAGCCCGUACACAAAAUGCACAUACUGUGAGCUCGAUGAGUAGGGCGGGACACGUGGUAUCCUGUCUGAAUAUGGGGGACCAUCCUCCAAGGCUAAAUACUCCUGACUGACCGAUAGUGAACCAGUACCGUGAGGGAAAGGCGAAAAGAACCCCGGCGAGGGGAGUGAAAAGAACCUGAAACCGUGUACGUACAAGCAGUGGGAGCCUCUUAAUGGGGUGACUGCGUACCUUUGUAUAAUGGGUCAGCGACUUAUAUUCUGUAGCAAGGUUAACCGAAUAGGGGAGCCGAAGGGAAACCGAGUCUUAACUGGGCGUUAAGUUGCAGGGUAUAGACCCGAAACCCGGUGAUCUAGCCAUGGGCAGGUUGAAGGUUGGGUAACACUAACUGGAGGACCGAACCGACUAAUGUUGAAAAAUUAGCGGAUGACUUGUGGCUGGGGGUGAAAGGCCAAUCAAACCGGGAGAUAGCUGGUUCUCCCCGAAAGCUAUUUAGGUAGCGCCUCGUGAAUUCAUCUCCGGGGUAGAGCACUGUUUCGGCAAGGGGGUCAUCCCGACUUACCAACCCGAUGCAAACUGCGAAUACCGGAGAAUGUUAUCACGGGAGACACACGGCGGGUGCUAACGUCCGUCGUGAAGAGGGAAACAACCCAGACCGCCAGCUAAGGUCCCAAAGUCAUGGUUAAGUGGGAAACGAUGUGGGAAGGCCCAGACAGCCAGGAUGUUGGCUUAGAAGCAGCCAUCAUUUAAAGAAAGCGUAAUAGCUCACUGGUCGAGUCGGCCUGCGCGGAAGAUGUAACGGGGCUAAACCAUGCACCGAAGCUGCGGCAGCGACACUAUGUGUUGUUGGGUAGGGGAGCGUUCUGUAAGCCUGUGAAGGUGGCCUGUGAGGGUUGCUGGAGGUAUCAGAAGUGCGAAUGCUGACAUAAGUAACGAUAAAGCGGGUGAAAAGCCCGCUCGCCGGAAGACCAAGGGUUCCUGUCCAACGUUAAUCGGGGCAGGGUGAGUCGACCCCUAAGGCGAGGCCGAAAGGCGUAGUCGAUGGGAAACAGGUUAAUAUUCCUGUACUUGGUGUUACUGCGAAGGGGGGACGGAGAAGGCUAUGUUGGCCGGGCGACGGUUGUCCCGGUUUAAGCGUGUAGGCUGGUUUUCCAGGCAAAUCCGGAAAACCAAGGCUGAGGCGUGAUGACGAGGCACUACGGUGCUGAAGCGACAAAUGCCCUGCUUCCAGGAAAAGCCUCUAAGCAUCAGGUAACAUCAAAUCGUACCCCAAACCGACACAGGUGGUCAGGUAGAGAAUACCAAGGCGCUUGAGAGAACUCGGGUGAAGGAACUAGGCAAAAUGGUGCCGUAACUUCGGGAGAAGGCACGCUGAUAUGUAGGUGAAGCGACUUGCUCGUGGAGCUGAAAUCAGUCGAAGAUACCAGCUGGCUGCAACUGUUUAUUAAAAACACAGCACUGUGCAAACACGAAAGUGGACGUAUACGGUGUGACGCCUGCCCGGUGCCGGAAGGUUAAUUGAUGGGGUUAGCGGUAACGCGAAGCUCUUGAUCGAAGCCCCGGUAAACGGCGGCCGUAACUAUAACGGUCCUAAGGUAGCGAAAUUCCUUGUCGGGUAAGUUCCGACCUGCACGAAUGGCGUAAUGAUGGCCAGGCUGUCUCCACCCGAGACUCAGUGAAAUUGAACUCGCUGUGAAGAUGCAGUGUACCCGCGGCAAGACGGAAAGACCCCGUGAACCUUUACUAUAGCUUGACACUGAACAUUGAGCCUUGAUGUGUAGGAUAGGUGGGAGGCUUUGAAGUGUGGACGCCAGUCUGCAUGGAGCCGACCUUGAAAUACCACCCUUUAAUGUUUGAUGUUCUAACGUUGGCCCGUAAUCCGGGUUGCGGACAGUGUCUGGUGGGUAGUUUGACUGGGGCGGUCUCCUCCUAAAGAGUAACGGAGGAGCACGAAGGUUGGCUAAUCCUGGUCGGACAUCAGGAGGUUAGUGCAAUGGCAUAAGCCAGCUUGACUGCGAGCGUGACGGCGCGAGCAGGUGCGAAAGCAGGUCAUAGUGAUCCGGUGGUUCUGAAUGGAAGGGCCAUCGCUCAACGGAUAAAAGGUACUCCGGGGAUAACAGGCUGAUACCGCCCAAGAGUUCAUAUCGACGGCGGUGUUUGGCACCUCGAUGUCGGCUCAUCACAUCCUGGGGCUGAAGUAGGUCCCAAGGGUAUGGCUGUUCGCCAUUUAAAGUGGUACGCGAGCUGGGUUUAGAACGUCGUGAGACAGUUCGGUCCCUAUCUGCCGUGGGCGCUGGAGAACUGAGGGGGCUGCUCCUAGUACGAGAGGACCGGAGUGGACGCAUCACUGGUGUUCGGGUUGUCAUGCCAAUGGCACUGCCCGGUAGCUAAAUGCGGAAGAGAUAAGUGCUGAAAGCAUCUAAGCACGAAACUUGCCCCGAGAUGAGUUCUCCCUGAGACUUAGAGUCUCCUGAAGGAACGUUGAAGACGACGACGUUGAUAGGCCGGGUGUGUAAGCGCAGCGAUGCGUUGAGCUAACCGGUACUAAUGAACCGUGAGGCUUAACCUUACAACGCCGAAG